GCUUGAAGCAUUUCCCAUUAUCAUAUUCUACUUGAGGGCCUGAUUUGCCGAGCUUGGUUCCUAAGCAAGCGCUUCGUGCGCCAAACCAUGGGCCUGCCUACUUCGUUUAUACCGAUGGCACCGCUAGUGUCCAUGAGAGCGACAGACAAGCUAUCUGCCGAAGAAGUGAUCCAGUUCAUGGUAGGCUUAGAGGCAGAGUAUUUCCGUGUAAAGGGCGACUACGUGGCCUUUAUCCAAACACACUUGAUGCCACCUUUGACCGGUGUUUGCGGGGUGAGGGGGUGAGAGCUCCUACCGCGAGAGCGAGACGCAGAACGACCCGGGCAAGCAAAGCCCGUGGUAGAGGGGCUUCUCAGGCGAGGCAGGUGACCAGGUGGCCAAAGUUACCUACUGCACUCACAUGUUGACAGCAUACUAGGGAGGCCUAUUAGAUCCCGAUUGAGCCCACAACAGCUGGGCAUAGAUACACCAGAGCCCAGGAUACACCUCCGGCACCUCCAAGAUAUAUCGAGGAUCUGCUUGAGCUACUAGCCUCAUUUGAGGGCAUGAUAUUGAGGAGGGAGGCACUGCUCGGCUUCCAUGGCAUUUAGGUCCCACCCAUACCGGGUGCGCCAGCAGGAGCAGCAGUAGGACUAACAGUGCCUCCUCCGGCGAUAAGGAAAGAGAGACAGGCUCCAACACGCAGCCAAGGCCGAGCUAAGGGCACCCGAGCUGAGAGUGGCCCUUCAAAGCCUAUUUUGAGCGAUGAUGAUGCUGAGACUAGUGAGGCCAAGGUGACGAUAAGUCAGCAUGCUGAGUCAUCCAAGAGUGGAGACGAUGAUGCUGGCUGGGGUUCUGAGAGUGGGGAUACUGAUGUUGAGGAGGGCUCCGAGGUAGAGAGUGGAGAUGGCUCCGAUUCAGACUCUGAUCCAGAUUCAAACAGUGGCACCGAUAGAGAUAGUGUUGCAGAGUCCUCUUCUUCGAAGAAGAGAACGAAGAGGGCUUCUCGAGCCUGAGGCGACCUGCGUUGAUUUUCUGUAGUUUUUUUUUUUUUUUUUCUUAGCUUCUUUGUGUUAAUAGCGUUAGGACAUUGUACAGCUUCAGACAAGUUUUAUUUUUUAAAAAAACUUGUACGGCACCUUUUGUAAAAAACAACAAUGAUCGGAAUGAAA